rnacentral:rRNA from 1 species
GACGAAGGAUGCAAGCGUUAUCCGGAUUCAUUGGGUUUAAAGGGAGCGUAGGUGGUCUUCUAAGUCAGUGGUGAAAUCUCUCGGCUUAACUGAGAAAUUGCCAUUGAUACUGGGAGACUUGAGUGUAGUUGCCGUUGGCGGAAUAUGACAUGUAGUGGUGAAAUACAUAGAGAUGUCAUAGAACACCGAUUGCGAAGGCAGCUAACGAAACUAUAACUGACACUGAGGCUCGAAAGUGCGGGGAUCAAACAGG